rnacentral:rRNA from 1 species
UGGGGAAUAUUGGGCAAUGGGCGAAAGCCUGACCCAGCAACGCCGCGUGAUUGAAGAAGGUCUUCGGAUUGUAAAGAUCUGUCCUAUGGGACGAAACAAAUGACGGUACCAUAGGAGGAAGCCCCGGCUAACUACGUGCCAGCAGCCGCGGUAAUACGUAGGGGGCGAGCGUUGUCCGGAAUUACUGGGCGUAAAGGGUGCGCAGGCGGUUUUUUAAGUCAGAUGUGAAAUACCCGGGCUUAACCUGGGGGGUGCAUUUGAAACUGGAAGACUUGAGUGCAGGAGAGGAAAGUGGAAUUCCUAGUGUAGCGGUGAAAUGCGUAGAUAUUAGGAGGAACACCAGUGGCGAAGGCGACUUUCUGGACUGUAACUGACGCUGAGGCACGAAAGCGUGGGGAGCAAACA